UACAGAGGGGGCAAGCGUUAUUCGGAAUUAUUGGGCGUAAAGGGCGGGUAGGCGGUUUCUUAAGUCAGAUGUGUAAUCCCCGAGCUUAACUUGGGAACUGCAUCUGAGACUGGGAGGCUAGAGUACUGGAGGGGGUGGUGGAAUUCCUCGUGUAGCGGUGAAAUGCGUAGAGAUGAGGAGGAACACCAGUGGCGGAGGCGGCCACCUGGACAGUAACUGACGCUGAGGCGAGAAAGUGUGGGUAGCCAACAGG
rnacentral:rRNA from 1 species